UACGUAGGUGGCAAGCGUUGUCCGGAUUUAUUGGGCGUAAAGCGCUCGCAGGUGGUUCGUCGCGUCGUGCGUGAAAGACCCCGGCUCAACUGGGGAGGGUCGUGCGAUACGGGCGAACUGGAGGCCAGUAGGGGGAUGCGGAAUUCCGGGUGUAGUGGUGGAAUGCGUAGAGAUCCGGAGGAACACCAGCGGCGAAGGCGGCAUCCUGGACUGGUCCUGACACUCAGGAGCGAAAGCGUGGGGAGCGAUCCGG
rnacentral:rRNA from 1 species